CUGCCUACCUCGGGGUGCCGUGGGCCACUGGCCCAGGGCUGAGAUGCCAAAAGCGAACCCGUUGAACCUGAACCGGCUAGAACCGGCGGAGGGAAGGUAAAGGACGCAUCA
rnacentral:ncRNA from 2 species